GAUGAACGCUGGCGGCGUGCCUAACACAUGCAAGUCGAACGGAGUAUUUCGGAUGAAGUUUUCGGAUGGAUUUUGAGAUACUUAGUGGCGGACGGGUGAGUAACGCGUGGGCAACCUGCCCCAUACCGGGGGAUAACAGCCGGAAACGGCUGCUAAAACCGCAUACGAUGCAGAAGUCGCAUGACUACUGCAUGAAAUAUUCAUAGGUAUGGGAUGGGCCCGCGUCUGAUUAGCUAGUUGGUGAGGUAACGGCUCACCAAGGCGACGAUCAGUAGCCGGCUUGAGAGAGUGACCGGCCACAUUGGGACUGAGACACGGCCCAAACUCCUACGGGAGGCAGCAGUGGGGAAUAUUGCACAAUGGGGGAAACCCUGAUGCAGCGACGCCGCGUGAGUGAAGAAGUAUUUCGGUAUGUAAAGCUCUAUCAGCAGGGAAAGAAAGACGGUACCUGACUAAGAAGCCCCGGCUAACUACGUGCCAGCAGCCGAC
rnacentral:rRNA from 1 species